CAGAGCGUAACGCCCUGAAAAAAACAAAAACUCGGUGGCGGGAAAAGAGAGAGAAAGAAAGAGAGUAAGAGAGAAUCUCCCUCCCUCCCUCUCUCUCUCUCUCUCUCUCUUUCCCCGCUGCUUGGGUAGAUAGGACCCGUACCCCAAAACCAAAGAAUUUUUAUGGCCUUUUCUGGUGAUAUACAAAACUUUCA
rnacentral:misc_RNA from 1 species